ACUUUUGUACAACUUUCGUGACAUUUGAAUUUUGAAACAGGGGUUCAACAUCGAUUUGAGGAUUUGGCUCCAUCUUCUCUCUUUCUCAUGUAUAUUGAACGGCACCAUCUUUUCUCUCUUUCUCAGAACACCACCGAUUUGAAGAUUAAAUCUGGGAGAUAUGACGGUCGAAUAAGUUCGUUCUUCCUAUUCAACAACCAUUAGUUUAUAGGGAAUCAAGUCUGCAAAGAUCGGUGGCUACGGAGAAGAGUUCCCGGCUGUAGAUGAUGAUUGAGGUAGGUUCCGACAGACAAACUGAGGUUGCAAAGUACACCAGCAGUUAGCUACUCUGAGGAUUAUUGUCAACCCCAGUCUGAGGUUUACACAGAAGAACAUGAAAAUCUGUUGGGUGAGGCUGCUGGGAAAUAGGUUUGGGUCAGAACUGAUGCCCUUAAUGUUGCUUGAAACACCACUGCUGCUAUUGAAAGAUCCUCGCCCCAAAACCCUAACCACUGCCUGCUUGCUCGAGAGAAGACUACGAUUUUGUUCAGAUGGGCGUGAUAGGAAAGCAACUAGAUGUGUUAAUGGAAGUCAAUCAGAAUGGUGAUGUCACAAAGUUAAUCGGAAGUACUACGAUCGUGACGUCGACUAUUUCUUCUUAGUCGGCCUCGGUUAGCAUGAACUCUUUCAACUCGCUGUAAGUAUAACAAAACUAACUUUUUUAUAUAUAGUAUAAAUAUUGCAAAAUAUGUUACACGAAUGAUAAGACCUUGAUUUUGUUUGAUUAUAACUUGGAUAUGAAUAUGUUUUGUUCUUUAUUGAGUAAUUCAUUAGAAUGCGAAAUUACGAUGAUGGUUUUUAGCGAGCGCAACCGCAACAAGUUUUAAACUAACGGACUGUAACGGUAAUUUUCAACAAACCACAGGGACGUACAGCAUAAUUAUUUUUUUACGGACAAAAUGGCCAUUUAUUUCUGAUAAAACUGUUCUUGAAUUCUGUCCAACAGAUCUUAAAGGCAGAUGAUGUGGAUUUGGCUGUAAUUGUUAGAGGAACACCUGGAUUUUCUGGUGCCGAUCUGGCAAACUUGGUUAACGUUGCUGCUCUCAAGGCGCAAUGGAUGGUGCUAAAUCUAUAAGCAUGGCUAACCUUGAAUAUGCAAAAGACAAAAUCAUGAUGGGCAGUGAACGCAAAUCAGCAAUUAUACCAGAUGACGUCUGUAAACUAACAGCAUACCAUGAAGGUGGCCAUGCUCUUGUAGCUAUUUACAUUGAUGGGCCCACCCUGUGCACAAAGCUACAAUUGUGCCACAUGUUGGGAGAAGGCGGGUUCAGGUUGGUUUUCAAGGGCUGGAUAGAUGAACAGUCUUUCACUGCUACUAAGCCCGGAACCGGCAUUGUUAUUGCUGUCAAAAAGCUUCGUCAAGAAAGUUUUCAAGGUCACAGAGAAUGGUGGGUUUUUGUAACGGGUCGCAGGAGGAUCAUAUUGAGCAACCUGAACGCGGCUUGAAGGUGGUGGAAGAGAGUGCUGAUGUGAUCAUUCUAGAUGAUAAUUUUUCCACAAGUGUCACUGUGGCAAAGUGGGGUCGCUCGGUUUAUGUGAACAUACAGAAGUUUGUGCAGUUUCAGCUGACAAUGAAUGUUGUCGCGCUAUGGUUCUCUAAUUAUAUCAAUUAGAUCUUUCACCUUGACAACUCAGAUUCUAAUUUGGUUCUCAACACCCUUAUCUUCAACUCAUUCGUCUUCUGUCAAGUUCGUUAAAUAAAUAAAUGACGUUGAUUUCAAAACCAAUAAAAUUCUUUCUUUGGUUGUUAAAAAAAGAUGUAUAUAGAGUUAAUAAUAUAACUGAAUUUGUGACUAUCACUUAUUUUCUAUUGCUUUCUUUUAACCGGAAUUGUUUUUGGCAAAAAUGGUAUUGUUCAAGUACAUAGAGAUGCACAUAAAGGUCCACGUACAGUGAGUCAAUGACCGGUCCCAUGACUAUAGACUCUUUUAGAUAAGUGUAAUAAUUAUUAAUUGUUAUACAAAGUGUUCAAGAAAUUAUUACAUAUUUUUUUAAGAAUGUUAAAAAAAAAGAGUUUGAUACCGACUAAAAGUAAAAUGAGACUUUGUGUGAUGGCUGAAACAUUGGAUAUCUUGUUAGAUUGAUCCAGGGGUAGUUUCAUGAGUAAGAGUUGGGACCGUUAUCGAUCGGCUGAGUUAUCUACAUGGGCGUCAACAAAUCUGUAAAACGUUCGAAGCCUGGGUAGAUGGAACUGUGUUAUCCACUCGUUAUGCUGCAGGGGUAAUAUUGUCAUUUUGUUGAGUUGCUGGUACUUUGUGUACUUAUGGUACUAUGCAGGCCCGGGUCCUAUUAUUCAAAAUGCUCGGGACUGGUUUAAUGGUUUGGCUGAUUUAGUUGCUACGUUUAUGGUUCAGAAGGCCCAAAAAGCUUGUUGCUAGCUAUGUUGGAUUUAUCCCGUUCAGGCCUACCACAACUGGGUUACUGGUGCUGAUCUACUGGCCUGGUUGGUUCUCUAUAUGGUCAGAUUUGGUGAUGGCCCUUUGGUGGGUUUCUCGUGUGAAGGCCAGGCCCCAUGGCCUGAAAAUGGGCCUGGUUUAUGGUUCGCUGAAGGCCCUGUAAUGGUGCUUGAAUUAUGGCACUAAUUGGUAAAAGCUAGGAACAAGUCUUCUGAGUUGGGCAUUGGCAAGUCUCCAAAGGCUGAGGGUCCUCAUUUGUGUGCUCAAGUCUCCAGCCCGGGUUGUAAAAUGCGGUUUGGGCCUGUGUUAUUGGGCUGGGGAUAUGGCAGAUGGGGCCGUUGUUUGGGCUCCUGGUCUAUAAUAGUCAUGGGUGUCACAAAAUAUAACUCGAUUAUGAGAAAUGUUCGGAAUGUUUGUGGGUUGGGAGUCGCCUUAUAUUAUUGGGCGUGUUUAUACUACGUGUAAUUUUUAUAGAUUAGGGUGCAUUUUGUGUCAUAGUAUGAGAAGUAUUAGGUUCUUGCAUAGUCGGAGGAAAGGUUGUAUGA